rfam:Camelus ferus unplaced genomic scaffold scaffold538, whole genome shotgun sequence.
GGAAGGAUACAGCUUAGUGGUAGAGUGCGUGCUUAGCAUGCGUGAGGUCCUGGGUUCAAUCCCCAGUACCUCCA